rnacentral:tRNA from 1 species
GCUCAGGUAGCUCAGUUGGUAGAGCAAAGGACUGAAAAUCCUUGUGUCGGCGGUUCGAGCCCGCCUCUGAGCACCA